GAUGAACGCUGGCGGCGUGCCUAAUACAUGCCAGUCGAGCGAACGGACGAGAAGCUUUCUUCUCUGAUGUUAGCGUCGGACGGGUGAGUAACACGUGGAUAACCUACCUAUAAGACUGGGAUAACUUCGUGAAACCGGAGCUAAUACCGGCUAAUAUUUUGAACCGCAUGGUUCAAAAGUUAAAGACGGUCUUGCUGUCACUUAUAGAUGGAUCCGCGCUGCAUUAGCUAGUUGGUAAGGUAACGGCUUACCAAGGCAACGAUGCAUAGCCGACCUGAGAGGGUGAUCGGCCACACUGGAACUGAGACACGGUCCAGACUCCUACGGGAGGCAGCAGUAGGGAAUCUUCCGCAAUGGGCGAAAGCCUGACGGAGCAACGCCGCGUGAGUGAUGAAGGUCUUCGGAUCGUAAAACUCUGUUAUUAGGGAAGAACAUAUGUGUAAGUAACUGUGCACAUAUUGACGGUACCUAAUCAGAAAGCCACGGCUAACUACGUG
rnacentral:rRNA from 1 species